CCUACGGGUGGCAGCAGUGGGGAAUAUUGGGCAAUGGGCGCAAGCCUGACCCAGCGACGCCGCGUGAGGGAAGAAGGCUUUCGGGUUGUAAACUUCUUUUGUCAGGGACGAAGCAAGUGACGGUACCUGACGAAUAAGCCACGACUAACUACGUUCCAGCAGCCGCGGUAAUACGUAGGUGGCAAGCGUUAUCCGUAUUGACGUGGGGUAAAGGGGGUGUAGGCGGGGAAGCAAGUCAGAAGUGAAAACCGCGGGCUCAACCCGUGGACUGCAUUUGAUACUGUUUUUCUGGAGUGCUGGAGAGGCAAUCGGAAUUCCGAGUGUAGCGGUGAAAUGCGUAGAUAUAAGGAGGAACACCAGUGGCGAAGGCGGAUUGCUGGACAGUAACUGACGCUGAGGCGCGAAAGCGUGGGGAGCAAACAGGAUUAGAUACCCCUGUAGUC
rnacentral:rRNA from 1 species